rnacentral:rRNA from 1 species
CCUACGGGGGGCUGCAGUGGGGAAUCUUGCACAAUGGGGGAAACCCUGAUGCAGCGACGCCGCGUGAACGAUGAAGCCCUUCGGGGUGUAAAGUUCUUUCGACGGGAACGAUAAUGACGGUACCCGGAGAAGAAGCUGCGGCUAACUACGUGCCAGCAGCCGCGGUAAUACGUAGGCAGCGAGCGUUGUUCGGAGUUACUGGGCGUAAAGAGUGCGUAGGCGGUCAGCCAAGUUUGGUGUGAAAUCUCCCGGCUCAACCGGGAGGGUGCGCCGAAAACUGGUUGGCUUGAGUAUGGGAGAGGAAGGCGGAAUUCCUGGUGUAGCGGUGAAAUGCGUAGAUAUCAGGAGGAACACCUGUGGUGUAGACAGCUUUCUGGACCAUCACUGACGCUGAGGCACGAAAGCGUGGGUAGCAAACAGGAUUAGAUACCCCUGUAGUC